AGGCAGAAUUCUGUUAGGGAACAUGCUUUGGCUGUCAUUGGCUCAGACCUCAGAAAACAGGUAUGUUUGCCUUGGCCUUCCAUGAGAGGCUGUUAUCUGGCAGGACCAGCGGUGGCACGGUGGUAACACAACAUGAGAAAGGUACUGGAUUUGUGCCACAAUGCCUCCUUUUACAUGCCAGUGACACUUGCAAAGAUGUUAAAUGAAUGGACCACCAGAAGAAUCAAAGCUCUAGAGUUCUCUUUGGAUGCACUG